AAGUCGUAACAAGGUUUCCGUAGGUGAACCUGCGGAAGGAUCAUUAACACGUAUCCAAACGUUAAACCCCCCUGUGAACCUUCAGUCGUACUCGUACGUCCGUUAGAAAAAGCAGCAAUCCCUGGUAAAUCAUCGCCGAACAGUUUUCGAUUCAGGGACGUCUGCAGGCAUCCCCAAGCAGUUAGUGUCUGAAAGUGUCACUAACGUUAGUGUCUGAAAGUGUCACUAACAUGUGUAAGGAUGACGCAGUCACGAUCGUUGGAGGCCCACACGGCCGACGACCGGGUCACUGGGUGCAAGCCCCCUUAUCACACCCCUGCUCUAUCUAUGGUGAUCCUGCGGGAAGUCCUGCGGUCGAACGCCGAAACCGAACAACUGUUAACAAUGGAUAUCUUGGUUCUC
rnacentral:misc_RNA from 1 species